rnacentral:rRNA from 1 species
AUUGAACGCUGGCGGCAGGCCUAACACAUGCAAGUCGAGCGGAUGAAGGGAGCUUGCUCCUGGAUUCAGUGGCGGACGGGUGAGUAAUGCCUAGGAAUCUGCCUGGUAGUGGGGGAUAACGUCCGGAAACGGGCGCUAAUACCGCAUACGUCCUGAGGGAGAAAGUGGGGGAUCUUCGGACCUCACGCUAUCAGAUGAGCCUAGGUCGGAUUAGCUAGUUGGUGGGGUAAAGGCCUACCAAGGCGACGAUCCGUAACUGGUCUGAGAGGAUGAUCAGUCACACUGGAACUGAGACACGGUCCAGACUCCUACGGGAGGCAGCAGUGGGGAAUAUUGGACAAUGGGCGAAAGCCUGAUCCAGCCAGGCCGCGUGUGUGAAGAAGGUCUUCGGAUUGUAAAGCACUUUAAGUUGGGAGGAAGGGCAGUAAGUUAAUACCUUGCUGUUUUGACGGUACCAACAGAAUAAGCACCGGCUAACUUCGUG